rnacentral:rRNA from 1 species
CCUACGGGUGGCAGCAGUGGGGGAUAUUGCACAAUGGGGGGAACCCUGAUGCAGCGACGCCGCGUGGGUGAAGAAGCGCCUCGGCGCGUAAAGCCCUGUCAGCAGGGAAGAAAAUGACGGUACCUGAAGAAGAAGCCCCGGCUAACUACGUGCCAGCAGCCGCGGUAAUACGUAGGGGGCCAGCGUUAUCCGGAUUUACUGGGGGGAAAGGGGGCGCAGACGGCGAUGCAAGCUAGGUGUGAAAGCCCGGGGCCCAACCCCGGGACUGCCCUUGGAACUGCGUGGCGGGAGGGGAGGAGGGGCAGGCGGAAUGCGUGGUGUAGCGGUGAAAUGCGUAGAUAUCAGGAGGAACACCGGUGGCGAAGGCGGCCUGCUGGACUGCAACUGACGUUGAGGCCCGAAAGCGUGGGGAGCAAACAGGAUUAGAUACCCGUGUAGUC